rnacentral:lncRNA from 1 species
UUCAACUAAAAUGAGAUAUAAAAAUAUUAUUAAUUUUAAAAAAUGAACUUAUUAUCACAUCAAUAACUCAUAUAUGCCUUUUCUUCUUCUUCGUUUGAAAUGAAACCACGACCCAUAAAUAGAUCUCCAUCUUCUUCGCUUAAAAUUGAAUUGACAAUGCAAAAGCAGAUCUCAAUCUUUUUGUUCGCUUGAAAUCGAAACAAAAAUC